ensembl:lncRNA
AGCUAGGAUCUGGUUUAGGGUGAGGGCUAGGAGCUAGGAUCAGGUUUAGGGUGAGGGUUAGGUUUAGGAGCUAGGAUCAGGUUUAGGGUGAGGGGUAGGAGCUAGGAUCUGGUUUAGGGUGAGGGCUAGGAGCUAGGAUCAGGUUUAGGGUGAGGGUUAGGUUUAGGAGCUAGGAUCAGGUUUAGGGUGAGGGGUAGGAGCUAGGAUCAGGUUUAGGGUUAGGGUUAGGAGCUAGGAUCACGUUUAGGUUGAGGGUUAGGAGCUAGGAUCAGGUUUAGGGUGAGGGUUAGGAGCUAGGAUCAGGUUUAGGGUGAGGAUUUGGAGCUAGGAUCUUUAAGGUUAGGUUUUAGGGUUAGGUUUUAAGGUCAGGUUUUAGGGUUAAAGUUAGGUUUUAAGGUUAAGGUUAGGUUUUAGGGUUAAGGUCAGGUUUUAGGCUUAAGGUCAGGUUUAGGUUUUAUGGUUACGUUUGAAGUUUAAGGUUAGGUUUUAGGUUUAACGUUAGGUUUUAAAUGGGACUGAAUUGUGUGUCCCCACAAGGUUAGUUAUACAAGACUGUGUGUGUGUGUGUGUGUGUGUGCCUGUGAAGACUGCAGGGUCUAAUCUUCAGAGAGUAGAUGAAUAGGGGUUAUUAGCCAUGCAGAACACUAAACG